UACGUAGGGCGCGAGCGUUGUCCGGAAUUAUUGGGCGUAAAGAGCUCGUAGGCGGUUUGUUGCGUCGGAUGUGAAAGCCCGGGGCUUAACCCCGGGUCUGCAUUCGAUACGGGCAGACUGGAGUGUGGUAGGGGAGAUCGGAAUUCCUGGUGUAGCGGCGAAAUGCGCAGAUAUCAGGAGGAACACCGGUGGCGAAGGCGGAUCUCUGGGCCAUUACUGACGCUGAGGAGCGAAAGCGUGGGGAGCGAACAGG
rnacentral:rRNA from 1 species